UACAGAGACUGCAAGCGUUAUUCGGAUUCACUGGGCGUAAAGGGUGCGCAGGCGGUUGGGUGUGUCAGAUGUGAAAUCCCGAGGCUCAACCUCGGAACUGCGUCUGAAACUACUCGACUAGAGUACUGGAGAGGGAAACGGAAUUCACGGUGUAGCAGUGAAAUGCGUAGAUAUCGGAAGGAACAUCAGUGGCGAAAGCGGCUUCCUGGACCAGCACCGACGUUCAGGCACGAAAGCGUGGGGAGCAAACAGG
rnacentral:rRNA from 1 species